GGAAAUGGUCCUGGCUCAGCAGUGGAGCAUCUGUUUUGCAUGCAGAAGGUUCCAGGUUCAAUCCCCAAUGGCAUCUCCA